rnacentral:siRNA from 1 species
GGCCUAAACCAUGUUUGUAUGUAC